CCUCCGCAUAGUACAACACAGACUUUUUGUAAUGAUGUGUAUUUGUUGCACAAAUACAGGGGCGGCUGUAGAAAAGCCUGUGUUAGGGUGAACUACAUUACCCAGCAGCCUCUGGGCAGUGAUGGGAUUCAUGGGAUUUCGGAGCUGGAUGGUGUUCGUUCGUUCCUGGGCUGGCGAUUGAGGAGAGAGCUGCGGGGAAGGGAAGCAAAUAGCCCAUCCUGUAUUUGUUGGGGAUGGUGUGCGUCAAUUAAAAAAACCACACCAUAUCACCCCUCCACAUCCUCCUACUGUAUGCCAUACCUUCCUGUACCAUCCAUCUGACCGCCAAUAAACUCCACCUGUGGUAAUCUAA